AUUGAACGCUGGCGGCAGGCCUAACACAUGCAAGUCGAACGAGCGGCGGACGGGUGAGUAAUGUAUGGGAAACUGCCUGAUGGAGGGGGAUAACUACUGGAAACGGUAGCUAAUACCGCAUACCAUCAGAUGUGCCCAGAUGGGAUUAGCUAGUAGGUGGGGUAACGGCUCACCUAGGCGACGAUCCCUAGCUGGUCUGAGAGGAUGACCAGCCACACUGGGACUGAGACACGGUCCAGACUCCUACGGGAGGCAGCAGUGGGGAAUAUUGCACAAUGGGCGCAAGCCUGAUGCAGCCAUGCCGCGUGUGUGAAGAAGGCCUUCGGGUUGUAAAGCACUUUCAGCGGGGAGGCGUUACCCGCAGAAGAAGCACCGGCUAACUCCGUGCCAGCAGCCGCGGUAAGUC
rnacentral:rRNA from 1 species